GCCCCGUCUCACCUUUUUUACCUCAGGAGCCAGGAGCAGACAGCAAUACUUCGUCCACACCUGGGAUCGCGCAGGGCCCGCCGGGCACAGGCGCCCGUCAGCCGGGCUGAGCGGAGUCUGGGUUAGCCAGGCCUGCGUGGCCCAUGGUGGCCCUUCCAGUGCAUAUAUAUACAUAUAUAUAUGCGUAUAUACACACACACACACAUAGACAGACAUAUAUAUAUAUAUAUUUAUUUUUUUUACUGAGAGCUUAUGACUUCCAGAAAGUGCUAAAGGUGGGAGGUGGGCCAGGGCCUGGACGGGGCUUUUGUCUGACGCUCUGGAAUUCAGGCCAGACCCACCCCAGGGCACAUGUCCUGCCGGGGCGUCGCAGCUGUGUUUUUUGAUGUCUCCUCCCGGGUUGAGAGUAGCUUGGAGAGGACCCUCAGGCCUCUGAGGGCACCAGGCCCGGGAGAAGAGGUGCAAUUCAGGGUGUGUUUUCUUUUUCUUUUUUUUUCUUUUAAAGAAGAAACGCUGCUAAGAUCCCCCGUGGCUCCCACGCGUCGGGGUGUCUGUCCUGUCAUCCUGACCGUCUUGUUGUUGUGAAGUCUUUUGUAGACACCCCAGAGCACACACAUACCCUUAGUACACGGGUUAGAUGUCUCUUUAGAAAAAUCAGGGGUGAGUAGCUGUGUUUCCUUAGGACCGUGGUGGGGGGUGGAGGGCAGCUCCGAGGCUGGGCUGGGGCUCUGGCCCCAGGGGAGGUGCCAGCUCCUGAGUACUUCUGAGGGGGUGGGUUCCACCCCAGGAGGGCGGGGUUGGGUGGAGCAGGAGUGGAGGCCGCUUGGAGAUGCCAGGGUACCUGCCUGGUCUCGGCUGGCUCUGGCUGCCCUGCAGGUGCCCUUGGGCUCAGGCAGUUAGUUGUUCAGUCACUUAUGCCUUUUAUCCCCAAUAUGGGCCCUGAGCUGUGGCUGUCCCUGGACGCUGUGCUGUCCCCGUCCUGAGCAACUAUGCCCCCGCCCCAGUGGGUUCAAGGCAAAGCAGCUCUGACCGAAUUCUAGGCAGGGGUGGGGGCACCUGCCUGGGCCCUGGGUCCAGCCGCAUCCCCACGCCCAGCCUUUUGCGUCACCUGGAGGCCACAUUCUCCGACCCCACCUCCCCGCCCCUGUCUCUCCUCCCUGCCCCUGUCUGUCCUCCCCGCUGCCCCUAACUGCAGGUCAGCUUUCACUAUAGUAGUGCUUCCCAAACGGGUUAUAGAUGGGGGUGUUUGAUUUGAAGAGUUACGCAUUUAUUUCACUAUUUAUUAGAAAAAAAAUACAUUGAACCCAUGAUUUCACAGAGAUUUUGCUUAGGUCAAGGCUACUUUUUAAAAAGGGAGUGACUUUCAUGAAGUCAGUUUGAAGGAGGAGGUUGGGAGCACGUUGGUGGCGGUGGUCUGGAGAGGCUGCAGAGGCCACGAGUUUGGAGCUGCUGUGCUUCAGCAAUAACCUUGCCUUUGUUAAGACCCCCCCUUGCCUUUGCUAAGACCCCCUCUGAGGGCUUCAUGGGGGCCUGCUGAGGGGCAGCCUUGUCCUUGUUCCCAAACUCUGACUUGGAAGAACUGAGCUCGUGGCCAGGCUGGUGAGGGUGUGGGGUGCCCCUUGGAGGGGUUCUGGGUGUCUUCCAGGCUGGCACAGGGACCCUGGGGGAGGUGGUGGGCAAUGUGUGCUUUGUCACAUGCAGAGACCUUUUGGGCUGAGGGAGAGCGGUCCAGGAGGGGUUGUCAAGCCCACCUGGGAAACUGAGCCCCGGAGAGGGGAAGCGGCCAGCCCAGGAUCCUUCAGGGCCCUAGCAGCAAAGAAGCUGGGGUGGUGUGGAGGGCCCCACUCCAUACCCUAGGGCUGUGAUGCUGAGCAAGGUGCCUGCGGCGGGAGGAACUGCCCAGUCCUCCCUGCGGGGCAGGUAGACCUGUGAGGAUGGCUGGGUCCAAGCCCAAUGCUGACCCCUCCAAAGAGCCUCGGCCCUGCCUCCCUUUCCACGGAGGUGGUUUUAUGUGGAGCGAGCUACGUUGUCUGGGGAAGAAGUGUCUGGGCGGGCUUACCUGCUCCUGGCUGACCCUGAGCACGCGCAGUUGGAGGGAGGCAGACAGACUUGACUUUUUGCAAGUCCUUGUGUUGCUGGAGGGACAUGUGUGUUGGAGCCCAGAAGAGGGGCUGUGUGACCUGGGAAGACCAUGUGGAAGGUUGGGCUUCAAAUUGGCAGGAUCAGACGCCGGUCCAGCAGCCUUGGGUCAUCUUGUGACUCUGCUGAGCAUCCUUUCCUGCUGUUACAUGGGUUCAGAGCAGCUGCGCGGGGAACACAUCCUAGGCAGGUCUGAUGUGAAACCUCCCCUUGCCCUGAACCAUGUGGCUCUGGAACAAGCAGACACCUCGGGGCAGGUGUUCUAGGCAAAGGGAUGGGCAUGAGCGAAGGCUCCAGGGCCCACAGAGCGGGGCGUGUGGAGAAGUUAAAAGAGCUGAGCUCAGAGGCAGAGAAGCUCCUUGCAGGAAGCAGUGGGAGAUGGCCAGGCUCCUGGAGGCCCCACCUGCCGAUCCCAGACACUUGGCCUUGUUCUUGUGGGUGACAGAGAUGGGGAACCAGGGAAGCUGUGAUCUACUGGCCAGCACAAGUCAGAAUGGGUGAGGGUUGGGCAAAGGGCCCUUCCUUCCUCCUCAACCCUGUGGUCUGGGGCCAUGGCCUCAGGCCUGUGUCUAUCACAAAAGCACAAAUUUGCCCUAACCCACAUGGGCCUGGCAGUGGGGAAGGUGGGGACGCAGGUCCCUGAGCUGUCUCUGCUGCUCCAUAGGGUGGUGAUGGGCAGGCACCUUGGCAUCUGUGCAGAGACAACCCAGUCUAGCCAAACCCUCUUUGUCUCCUCUGCUCUACCUUCUCCUGUACCAGGCAGCCCCUUAAAGGAGGACAAAGCGUGUAAAGCCCGUCUGCCUGUCUUCCCCCAUAUCCUCGGCUCGGAGCCUUCCGCUUCCAGGGCCAACCCCAGCCCCCUUUGCUGCGUUGUGUAAGGGCUUGGGGUCAUAAGAGCUGCUCUUUAGCCCAGAUACACAUACUCUUUUUUGUCUUUGUGCAAUAAUCCGUGUUCCUGGCAGAGCCUGGGCCAAGCUGCAGCCUACUGAGGAGGUAGAGGCCACCUCCUCCAGGAAGCCCUCGGCCUGGGCCGCCACCGUGACUCUAGCACUCUCAGUCGCUGUACAGUUUCUAUGGUGUGAAUGAACUUCCCUCCUAGUUGCUGAUGGCGCUGGUACCUGCUGGCCCAGAUGGCCCGGGUGUAGAGAAACCAAGCGGCAGCCACCACCAGUGUUGUUUUGAAUAAAAGCCCAGAAGCCUAUUUAAG
rnacentral:lncRNA from 1 species